CGGCGGACGGGUGAGUAAUGCCUAGGAAUCUGCCUGGUAGUGGGGGACAACGUUUCGAAAGGAACGCUAAUACCGCAUACGUCCUACGGGAGAAAGCAGGGACCUUCGGGCCUUGCGCUAUCAGAUGAGCCUAGGUCGGAUUAGCUAGUUGGCGGGGUAAAGGCCCACCAAGGCGACGAUCCGUAGCUGGUCUGAGAGGAUGAUCAGCCACACUGGAACUGAGACACGGUCCAGACUCCUACGGGAAGGCAGCAGGC
rnacentral:rRNA from 1 species